rnacentral:misc_RNA from 1 species
GUUUUUUUCCCAAUUUUAGUUUGCUUGAUUACGUCAAUACUAAUAAAUAUUAUCCAUAAAAUAUCGUAUUUAUUAAUUAUAAUUACUUUUAAAUUAAGAUUUUGUCAGUUUUUCCACACACACGCUCUCUACCUAUGUAGCCUUAAUUGUCUCUCUCAGUUAAACCCAAAAAGCAAAGCAAACUGCUUUUAAUGAAGAAAGAAAGAAAGAGCUGGUCAUGCAUCUCUUUUGAUAUAACCCCGUCAAACCCUAGCUUUAAACCUACCUCAAUUCGUACAUCUUAUGGUUUCUUCUUAUUUUAAUCUUAUUAUCUUUUAUUAAUUAAUGGUGAGGCCAUGAAAUAUCUAUAGAAAAAAGAAGGUUUUUGGUGUUCUUUGUUAUUUUGUUCUUUAUUUCUUCUGCUCUCUCUGUGCCCAGUUAUCAUGGUUGUUCAAGCACAGUUGUACCCUGAAAGUCUCUGUUUCCCUUUCUCUGGUUUGCAGGAUUGUAUGGUUAAUAAUCUUGUUUCUGGGUUUGGAACGGAUUUUUGUUUUGCUUUACAAGAGUCUCAGCAGCAGAAUCUCUUUCUUCAACCGCAGAGCUCUCAAAACUUUGGUUUUGAUUGCAAUAAUAAAGGGGCAGGGCCUUCUUCUUCCUCACAAUCAACUUGUGAUAGUUUCCUUUCCAUGGCUCUUGCUCAACAUCUAGAUGCUCGUCAUCUCGAAAUACAAAGGCAGGAGGUGGACUGCAUUCUUCAAUUACAAGUGAUUACCAUAUUCUAAAUUAGCCUUGUUAGUUUUUUUUUUUUCCCCUGCAACUUUUAGCUUUAGUCAUACUUUUUUUUUUGGAUUAAUUAAUGUCAUUGCUUUUUUUUUCCUAAAAAUACAUGCAGAAUGAGAGGCUAAGAUCUGCUUUGCAAGAGCAAAGAAGGCACCAACUGGCAAUUCUACUAAAGAAUGUGGAAUCCAAGGCCAUUUCUUUAAUGAGGCAAAAAGAAGAGGACUUGGCACAAGCAAGAAAGAAAAUGAUGGAGCUUGAGACAUGCUUAAGAAAAGCACUAAUGGAAAGAGAAUCGUGGCAAAGAGUAGCAGGAGAAAAGGAAGCAAUGGUCAUAGAUCUAAGCAACACGCUAGAACAAGUCAGAGAGAGACUGGUCUUGGGUAGCAGCACUAAAGGCCAAGAUACCGAAUCCUUUUGCUGUGGUUCAUGCGAUAGAGAACAAGAAGACCCCCUAAAGAUGGCCUGUAAAGGGUGCAAUUCUAGGGCCUCGUGCAUUCUCUUUCUACCUUGCAAGCAUCUCUGCUCAUGUAAUUUCUGUGAAGCUUUUCUCCCUUCUUGUCCUGUCUGUGAAUCCCCAAAGGAAGGAAGCAUGGAGGUUUUUUGGGUCUAGCAAUUAAGGAAGCCACCAAAGCAGAAGAGGUGGUAGGGAAAAAAAUAGAAAAGCAAGAUAUACUUUCUGUUUCUUUUUUUUGGAGGGUUGAAUGAAAGAACAAAUGUCCAUACCUGUAUUUUUUUUUUUUUUUUUUUU